AAUCAACGCUGGCGGCGUGCCUCAGACAUGCAAGUCGAACGAUUAAACUUUCCUUCGGGAAAGAUAUAAAGUGGUGCACGGGUGAGUAACACGUAGGUAAUGUACCUUUGGGUGGGGAAUAACCAUCGGAAACGAUGGCUAAUACCGCAUAAUGCAGCGGCAUCGCAAGAUGACAGUUGUUAAAGCGAGCAAUCGCGCCUAAAGAGCAGCCUGCGGCAGAUUAGGAGUUGGUAAGGUAAUGGCUUACCAAGCCUGCGAUCUGUAACCGACCUGAGAGGGUGGUCGGUCACACUGACACUGAAUAACGGGUCAGACUCCUACGGGAGGCAGCAGUCGGGAAUUUUGGGCAAUGGGCGAAGCCUGACCCAGCAACGCCGCGUGAAGGACGAAGUCUUUCGGGAU
rnacentral:rRNA from 1 species